rnacentral:rRNA from 1 species
GGCAAGAGCUCAGAUUUGAAAUCUCACCUAGUGUGCGAGUUGUAAAUUGCAGGUUGGAGUCUCGGGUUAGACGUGUGUGCAAGUCCCUUGGAACAGGGUGCCACUGAGGGUGAGAGCCCCGUAUCGUGCAUGUCGACACCUGUGAGGCCCUUCUGACGAGUCGAGUUGUUUGGGAAUGCAGCUCUAAGUGGGUGGUAAAUUCCAUCUAAGGCUAAAUAUUGGCGAGAGACCGAUAGCGAACAAGUACUGUGAAGGAAAGAUGAAAAGCACUUUGAAAAGAGAGUGAAACAGCACGUGAAAUUGUUGAAAGGGAAGGGUAUUGGGCUCGACAUGGGAUUUACGCAUCGUUGCCUCUCGUGGGCGGCGCUCUGGGUUUUUCCUGGGCCAGCAUCGGUUUUCGUUGCAGGAUAAGGACAAUUGGAAUGUGGCUCCUCGGAGUGUUAUAGCCUUUUGUAGAUGCUGCGUAUGGGGACCGAGGGCUGCGGCGGACUCGUUUCGUCUCGGAUGCUGGCACAACGGCGCAAUACCGCCCGUCU